AGGAAGUUUUAUUCUUGCUUUUUCGUUCAUUUUUUGUUUGUUCUAUAUGUAAGCUUAUGCGUGAUUUAUGUUUUUAUAAUUCUAGAUGGGUUAUAGGUGGAAAGGUCUAUAAUGCUUGUAUUUCUCAUUAGUUAUUAUUAGUUGAUCAAGUGUCCUUGUAUCUAGCAAUGCAUUUUAGUUUCGGUUAAAUUUUGUGCCAGCAGCCGCGGUUAUACCUUGGAGGCGUUUGAACGUGUUUGGCAUUAAAGGUAGUUAUAUUGUUUAUUGAUUGAUUUUAUUUGAGUUAUUUUUAGGUGAAAUUUUUAUUGUUUGUGUUUGUCUAUUUUAUGUUUGGAGGCUAUGAAAUUUUAUUUUUAGACUAGGAUUAGAUACCCUAUUAUUUUAGAAUGUUAAUUUUUGUGCCUGAGUAGUAUUAGUUAUGUUCUUGAAACUUAAAGAAUUUGGCGGUAUUUCAUUCCGUUCAGAGGAAUCUGUCUCGUUAUCGAUAGUCCACGUUGGACCUUGCUUAGUUAGUUUGUGGUUUGUAUACCGCCGUUUAUUGAUUAUCUUUUUAGAGGGCAUAUUAAUUUUCUAGUAUCUUUAUUUUGAUGUAUUUCAGGUCAAGGUGCAGCUUGUUUCUAAGUGGAAUGAUGGAUUACUUUAUUAUUUGUGUUUGUGGAUUGUUGAUUUAAAUAUUGACAUGAAAUUGGAUUUGGUUGUAAUGAUUUGUAGAUUGUUAUUAUGAUAAUUGGUUCUGGGAUAUGCACACAUCGCCCGUCGCUCUCGUUUCUUGUUAUAAUGAGAUAAGUCGUAACAAAGUGGUUGUACCGGAAGGUGCGGCUGGAUUGAU
rnacentral:ncRNA from 1 species